GUGCUGCCUGGAUGCCAUUUCUUCCAGAGGUGCAUCAUGAGAAUCAGGACCUCCCUGUUCUUCGUUGUAUUUUUCCAAUGAGGCCCCCCCGGGGCCUUCAGUCUGGUCCCUGUGGCCACAGUCCUAUCUUAGGGGGAGCAGAAGUUCUCACGGGGGCAAACAAGGGAGACGGGAUGCUGAGUGAGCAGUGCAGACGCACAGCUUACUCACUCAGCCCCACAGACCCCGUGGGGCUAUGCAGUUUCCUGCCUCAGGGCCUUUGCAUCUGCAGUUCCCCUGACCAGAGUGCCCUUCUCCUUCAUCACCAGGUGCGACUGGGUGACAGGUGGCCUGUGCUUAGAGGCCAUGCUUUUAGCCCCACCAUGGUCACUCUGGAAGGAGAUCUAAGCAGAGGGAUGGCAGGAGCAAAGCAUGGUCUCAUGAAAGAGGGGACUGUGGCCAAUGGGCAGGAUGUUUAGGGUUUCUGGAGACACGAGGAAACUUCACUGUUUCCCUUGUUUUGCAGACAACAGGCACAAAGAAGUGAAAUAAUUUGCUCAAGAUCACUUUUGAGUGAGGAAGCUGGAAUCUGAGCCUGGGGUGCAGGGGUGUGUGGGCGUCUGUCUCCAGUGCCACACCCUGAACCCUCUUAACUAGCCUCUGGGCAGAGGCUCAAGAGGUUUGCUAGAUGGGAAGAGGAUGAAAGCCUUGAUGGGAUUCCGGCCAGUGGCCCCUCUCACUGCUCACCAGCUGCGCAUCUUUGCAUAUCUUGCUCAGCUCACCUGCCUCACCUGUCAGUGUGGCGCUGAGAACUUUCCCUGUGGAGGUGUUAAAACAGCCCUGGCAGCUUGAACAGCCUGCGAUUCAAGGUUCCUCGUCGGGUAAGAGCCGGGACGUCACCGAUACUCUUAAGCCCGAGUUCCUUCCAUCACAGCAGCUGCUGGUUGACUUUCAAAAGGCUCAGAGGUCUACGCCCUGGAGGUGAAGCUUCCAGUGUCAAGGUCAAGCAGCGAGGAAGGGGCGGAAGGCUGGAGGCGAGAUCUGAGCUCAGGUGUCUUCGUGCGCAUAUUUUGUUUGGGGCACCAGAUCUGCUAAGUGCUCUUCGCAGUCAUUAUCCAGUCCAGCGUUGCUCCCCCUGUGGCCCCGGGCAUCCAGCCUAGGUCACGACUGCGCUGUCCCGUGUAAUAGCCACGACCCACAGUGUCCUUGACACUUGGAGUUGAGAAGCGCUGUGAAUGUGAAACACACACCCGAUUUCGAGGACUUAGUAC